CUCAACUCCCUAGAAAUAGUCCUUGUAAAUCGGUUAGUCUUGCCGGACUAUUAUUUAUGACAUAACAAGAUGGCUAGUGUAGUCGUAUAAGUCUAAUUUCUCGCAGUACCUAAAAUAAUUAAAACAAUGCUUUACCACAGACAAAAUUACAAAAAUAGCCCUAUUACUCGUACUUAUAAAAUUUACAACAAGGUCAUUUUUAAAUAUCUUAACCAAAUGAAUAAAAGUUAGGAUUCUCCAGAUCCCGUCUAAAGCGUAAUUAAUCCUGUAACAAGGGCACUUUUUUAACAUCCUAAACACUUCAUAUUCCGUAAACUCCAAUUUAGAUAACAAAAUAUCCGAAAACAACCAUGUAUCAGCCAACGAAAGUAAAUUAUAGCUGCAUGCGGAUAUUGUUUGCUUCAAAUGCUUUAGCUUAGACCUCAUACCUUUAGCGUUAAAAUAAUACAUUAGUCACAAUCUGUAGUGUGUACGUCUUCUUUGUUAAGUUGGGUUCUUUGUAUCAUUAUGUAAGUCACCAAACGGUUUAAACCUAUCACUGCUAAUUUUACUGAUAGCUUUUUCCGCAUUUUAUAAGUUUUAACCUAAAAGUUAGGAGUUAUUAGUUACCUUUUAAUUAGGAUUGUAUAUCACCGUACCAUUAUCAAAACAGUGACAGUGUCUUGUUACACACCAAACAUCACUGGGAAGGAAACUUUAAAUUUUCACCUAUAUUUAACUAGCUGUUGGCAACUAUAAAUAAAAACAAAAUUGAAUAGCUCUAAGUUUUUUCUCUUAUUCCACUAGAAGUCUGAUGUAAAAAUAUGACGACUAUUACCGUCAAAUGGGGUAAAGUGAACACUAAGGGGUAAAGUUAACUCUAACAGUCCGAACUCGUUGAUCGACCUUCAACGUCACGGUACGACAGUACACCGCGACUUUAUACAAGUUUACACAAGUGCACGAGGCGAAUAUUUAGUCUAGUGGAUGACAUGUUUGAGGCUGAUAGCGUUCGCUAUUGCAGUUGUGUUUCAGUUCGUGUUUGCCGUAAAAUUGUUGUUGGUUGAAAAGAUUGACGUGCAGUAAGGAAAGUAUACACCACACGGGUUUUUUGGCUAUUUAAGUAGGCCCUGCAGCUGAGAGAUGUUGAGCGGCACACAAUGAGUCUUAAUGCUCCCAUGCCCUAUACAAAUGGCGUGAGUUUCUCGAUCUGAGGAAGUAUAGAGAAGGUCAUAAACUGCAGAUGAAAAGACUGCAACAUCUAGACUACCAGUCUGGUUAAAACCAUUUUGACCAAACAAGGAAGAUUUGCACUUGAAAAUUGGUUGAAGUAGAGCCUAGUACAAGAAUGAAGAUACCAACUAGAAGUGCGGUUCUGCGACCUGCCGGAUUGUUUCUGGAGCUACCGGGACUUGGUGUCUACUGGCAUACCGAGACGCUUAAUGCUCUAUGGAGGUACCGAAAUUUCCUGGUGGGGGUAUAGCCGCGGCAUAUUUAGUAUCAUCAUAUUCCUUAGUCUGUCACUUAUAUGUAUGUAUGUAUUAUUUUAGGUGUAUCCUACCUAAGUGUUUGUAUCAUUUAAAGAGUUUAUUGACUUGUCUAUAUGUAUUUUUCAAUUAUUGGCAUGCUCUAAAUUUUCUGUACAAAUACAUUUAUUUAUUUUCUAAAUUAGGCAGCAUAUAGCCACUUCUGUUUGACGUUGCUUUGUGAUUUGUAUAAUCAUUUUGUUGGAAAAUAAAGAAUUAUUUAUUUAUUUAUUAUUUAUUUAGCAUUCCCAACCACGGAACCCAAAAAAAAAAUGAGGACCGAUAAAAUUAUAAGAAGUGAACUUCAA